rnacentral:rRNA from 1 species
AUGUCGUUCAAUGCUUUGGAUUUAGUGUGUUGGAAUGUAAGAGGCCUUAACAGUCCGGCCAAAAGGAAGGCGCUUAGGGGAUUUGUGGAUUCCACUCGCGCGGCGAUUGUUUGUAUCCUAGAAACUAAACUUGAGGUGGUAGACACUUUUGUAAUCUUACAAUGCAUGGGGCUGAAUUAUGAUGGUUUCACUUACUUACCGGCGUCGGACACGAGAGGCGGUAUCUUUGUGGCAUGG